CAGCAGCCGCGGUAAAACGGAGGGCGCGAGCGUUACCCGGAUUUACUGGGCGUAAAGGGCGUGUAGGCGGCCUGGGGCGUCCCAUGUGAAAGGCCACGGCUCAACCGUGGAGGAGCGUGGGAUACGCUCAGGCUAGAGGGUGGGAGAGGGUGGUGGAAUUCCCGGAGUAGCGGUGAAAUGCGCAGAUACCAGGAGGAACGCCGAUGGCGAAGGCAGCCACCUGGUCCACUUCUGACGCUGAGGCACGAAAGCGUGGGGAGCAAACAGGAUUAGAUACCCCAGUAGUCCCUGUCUCUUAUAC
rnacentral:rRNA from 1 species